AAAUGAUUUUGGGUGAAUGUCGUGAUCCGGAGGGAGGCUGAGUUGUUGAGCUCAAUGUUGGGAAAGAAAUAAGAGAAUUGGACUGAAUCGAGAUAUGAGAGGAUUUGAUUCAUGGGGUGCCUGCGAUUUGGGUUCAGAAAUCAUCCCAAAUGAGUUCGACUCGACCUGCAUAGAUUAAAUUCGACCAAUAAAAUCAAGCAAAAUCGAAUUAUUUUUAAUAAUGCAAUGAUGGAGGGGAACACAUUUUCUUAUAUUAAAUUUACAAUAUGUGCAA
rnacentral:lncRNA from 1 species